rnacentral:piRNA from 1 species
UCAUUGUUUAUAUUCUGUAAUCGC